AGAGUUUGAUCCUGGCUCAGAGCGAACGCUGGCGGCAGGCCUAACACAUGCAAGUCGAACGGACCCUUCGGGGUUAGUGGCGGACGGGUGAGUAACACGUGGGAACGUGCCUUUAGGUUCGGAAUAGCUCCUGGAAACGGGUGGUAAUGCCGAAUGUGCCCUUCGGGGGAAAGAUUUAUCGCCUUUAGAGCGGCCCGCGUCUGAUUAGCUAGUUGGUGAGGUAAUGGCUCACCAAGGCGACGAUCAGUAGCUGGUCUGAGAGGACGACCAGCCACACUGGGACUGAGACACGGCCCAGACUCCUACGGGAGGCAGCAGUGGGGAAUCUUGCGCAAUGGGCGAAAGCCUGACGCAGCCAUGCCGCGUGAAUGAUGAAGGUCUUAGGAUUGUAAAAUUCUUUCACCGGGGACGAUAAUGACGGUACCCGGAGAAGAAGCCCCGGCUAACUUCGUG
rnacentral:rRNA from 1 species